rnacentral:rRNA from 1 species
AAGUUGUUGCGGUUAAAAAGCUCGUAGUUGGAUCUGUGUGACACGCUGUCGGUUCACCGUUUUGAUGGUGUUUAACUGACAUGUCGUGGCACGUCCUGCCGGUUGGUAACGUGUCCUCCCUCGGGAGUGAUGCGUUUGCCAGUUCCAAUCCUGUCGCGGUGCUCUUCACCGAGUGUCGAGGCGGGCCGGCACGUUUACCUUGAACAAAUUUGAGUGCUUAAAGCAGGCUUCAAUUGCCGGAAAACUGUGUGCAUGGAAUAAUAUAAUAGGACUUCGGUUCUAUUUUGUUGGUUUUCAGAAUCCGAGGUAAUGAUUAAAAGGGCCUGGCGGGGGCAUUAGUAUUGCGACGUGAGAGGUGAAAUUCUUGGACCGUCGCAAGACUAACUGGAGCGAAAGCGUUUGCCAAGAAUGCUUCCAUUAAUCAAGAACGAAAGUUAGAGGUUCGAAGGCGAUCAGAUACCGCCCUAGUUCUAACCAUAAAUGAUGCCAGCCAGCGAUCCGUCGUCGCUCUUUUAUGACGCGACGGGCAGCUUCAGGGAAACUAAAGCUUUUGGGUUCCGGGGGAAGUAUGGUUGCAAAGCUGAAACUUAAAGGAAUUGACGGAAAGGCACCACCAGGAGUGGAGCCUGCGGCUUAAUUUGACUCAACACGGGAAAUCUCACCAGGCCAGAACACCAGUUGGAUUGACAGAUUGAGAGCUCUUUCUUGAUUUGGUGGG